AGUACAUGUUUGCAAACACCAACAAUUCAGUUUACACAAAGAAUGGAAAAGCUACUCUGCGUUUCCUUCUGAUCAAUCAGCGUGCUGAUUUCUCAUUUGCAUUAUUUUCAGGCGGCUUGUCCAAUCCAAAGGUGGUUGCAGUUUCAAAUUCCAUAACAUUUGCAAACCCUAAAGCACCACUUUAUCCACGUCUUGCGCUGGGGAAGUCAUGGGACGAGAUUCCACCUUAUGCUCAUCCUACAGUGCGAGACAACUACGACGUCAAAGAAUCGUUCCCUUCACCAGACAACAACAACAGCAAAUGUGCAUUUCGAAGGUAGCUUUAUACCCUUGUAUCGUUCUGAUCACUCUCAUCUUCAUUGUUAUCUUCAUUAUUCUCAUUGUCAAGUUUCAUUUCAUCUAUCAUCUUCCCUUACACUACCUAUUUUACAAGAAAAAUUGCUAGCUUUUAAAGUUAAAGGAAUGUAGUUUAGAACAUGGGUUUUCAAUUUCACUUGUUUCUACUGAGUUUUCUGCUAGAUCAAUGGCUUUUUCUGCGAAUUCUGGUGGUUUCCUUGAUGGAUUAUUGAUAUUAGGUUGUAAAUUAAUCGAAUUGGUAUUUCCUGAAACUGGGUUUAGUAAAAGAUGGUGAAUUAAGGCUUGGAGGUCAUUAUAGGGGGGUUUCUGCAAAUUCUGGUGAUUUCCUUGAUGGGUUAUUGAUACUGUUACAUUAGGCCAUUGACCCAAAAGACAACCGUCUACUGCUUUAGUGUGUAUAGAAGUAAUAAAUGGCAGUCAAAUGAGACAUUGUGAUUGUGUUCAUGUUUGGGGUGAUAGUAUUGGAAGUGUUCAGUUCAAAUUGAACUAUUGAAAAGGUCCACGAUAGGUGUUAUUGGAGUUUUAUAUGUAAUAUUUGGGAGUGCUUGA